rnacentral:rRNA from 1 species
UACGGAGGGUGCAAGCGUUAUCCGGAUUUACUGGGUUUAAAGGGUGCGUAGGCGGAUAUGUAAGUCAGUGGUGAAAUCUCUAGGCUUAACCUGGAAAUUGCCGUUGAUACUAUAUAUCUUGAAUGCUGUGGAGGUAAGCGGAAUAUGUCAUGUAGCGGUGAAAUGCUUAGAUAUGACAUAGAACACCUAUUGCGAAGGCAGCUUACUACGCAGAUAUUGACGCUCAUGCACGAAAGCGUGGGGAUCAAACAGG